rnacentral:tRNA from 1 species
GGGUACCAGGGGAAACGACCCGUAACGGGCUUUUAACCCGUUGGUUGUGGGUUCGAGUCCCACGGGACCCACCA